GACAGAGGGUGCAAACGUUGUUCGGAAUUACUGGGCGUAAAGCGUGCGUAGACGGUUAUGUAAGUCAGGUGUGAAAGCCCCCGGGCUCAACCUGGGGAAUUGCAUUUGAGACUGCAUAGCUAGGGUGCGGAAGAGGGAAGCGGAAUUUCCGGUGUAGCGGUGAAAUGCGUAGAUAUCGGAAGGAACACCAGUGGCGAAAGCGGCUUCCUGGUCCAGCACCGACGUUCAGGCACGAAAGCGUGGGGAGCAAACAGG
rnacentral:rRNA from 1 species